GACGAACGCUGGCGGCGUGCUUAACACAUGCAAGUCGAACGGAAAGGCCCUGCUUUUGUGGGGUGCUCGAGUGGCGAACGGGUGAGUAACACGUGAGUAACCUGCCCUUGACUUUGGGAUAACUUUAGGAAACUGGGGCUAAUACCGGAUAGGAGCUCCUGCUGCAUGGUGGGGGUUGGAAAGUUUCGGCGGUUGGGGAUGGACUCGCGGCUUAUCAGCUUGUUGGUGGGGUAGUGGCUUACCAAGGCUUUGACGGGUAGCCGGCCUGAGAGGGUGACCGGCCAAAUUGGGACUGAGAUACGGCCCAGACUCCUACGGGAGGCAGCAGUGGGGAAUAUUGCACAAUGGGCGGAAGCCUGAUGCAGCAACGCCGCGUGCGGGAUGACGGCCUUCGGGUUGUAAACCGCUUUCGCCUGUGACGAAGCGUGAGUGACGGUAAUGGGUAAAGAAGCACCGGCUAACUACGUG
rnacentral:rRNA from 1 species